UACGGAGGGGGCUAGCGUUGUUCGGAAUUACUGGGCGUAGAGCGCGCGUAGGCGGACCUGCAAGUCGGGGGUGAAAGCCCGAGGCUCAACCUCGGAACUGCCUUCGAUACUGCGGGUCUCGAGUCCGGGAGAGGUGAGUGGAAUUCCUAGUGUAGAGGUGAAAUUCGUAGAUAUUAGGAAGAACACCAGUGGCGAAGGCGGCUCACUGGCCCGGUACUGACGCUGAGGCGCGAAAGCGUGGGGAGCAAACAGG
rnacentral:rRNA from 1 species